UAUUAUCUUCAGGGCGGGGUGCAACUCCCCACCGGCGGUGUUUUUGCUAACCCAGCAAAUCAGCCCGCGAGCGCCUUUUCUCACGAAAAGGGUCAGCAGAUUUGGUGCCAAUCCAAAGCCGACGGUGAAAGUCCGGAUGAAAGAAGAAAUAG
rnacentral:ncRNA from 2 species